rnacentral:misc_RNA from 1 species
UUUCCGUAGGUGAACCUGCGGAAGGAUCAUUACUGACUAACAAAGGUGCGAGGGCUGUCGCUGACCCGUAAGGUUGUGCACGCUCGAGUGCACUCACACACAUCCAUCUCACCCCUAUGUUCACCACUGCGUGGGUCCCCCUAUGGCUUUUGCGGUUGGGGGCUUACGUUUUCACUUAUUCUUUGUAUGUUGUGUAGUUCGUAUUUUUUGUUUUUUCAAUUUCGCAAAUUCUACACUUUUCAACAACGGAUCCCUUGGUUUUUGCAUCGAAGAUGAAUA